GUGAGGAAUAUUGGUCAAUGGACGAGAGUCUGAACCAGCCAAGUCGCGUGAAGGAAGACGGUUCUAUGAAUUGUAAACUUCUUUUGUGCAGGAAUAAAGUGGGUUACGUGUAACCUUUUGUAUGUACUGUACGAAUAAGGAUCGGCUAACUCCGUGCCAGCAGCCGCGGUAAUACGGAGGAUCCGAGCGUUAUCCGGAUUGAUUGGGGUUAAAGGGUGCGUAGGUGGAUUGAUAAGUCAGCGGUGAAAGUUUGCAGCUUAACUGUAAAAUUGCCGUUUAAACUGUCGAUCUUGAGUGCAAAUGAGGUAGGCGGAAUGUGUUGUGUAGCGGUGAAAUGCUUAGAUAUAACACAGAACUCCGAUUGCGAAGGCAGCUUACUGGGAUGCAACUGACACUGAUGCACGAAAGCGUGGGUAUCAAACAGGAUUAGAAACCCGUGUAGUCC
rnacentral:rRNA from 1 species